rnacentral:rRNA from 1 species
CCCUGCCUUUUGUACACACCGCCCGUCGUUGUUUCCGAUGGAUGGCGAAAUACAGGUUGUUGGACUGGCCCCGUGCCGGGAAGAUAACCGAUAUUUAAUCAUUAGAGGAAGCAAAAGUCGUAACAAGGUAGCUG